GGCUUAAACACUGGCAACUUGGUUAUAUCUGGAGUACGCAAUGUGACCACCUUUUCCCUGAGAUGUAAAGAGGUCAUUAAUGAUGACUUGCCUGUUGGAGAGAUCCUGGAAUGCUGGUCUGCCCUAAAGAUGGAGUCACAGAUCUGUGCAAAGUUUCACAGAAUUACAAACAUCAACCUGAAAAACCACUUCUAUGCUGAGUUAGACAGACUUGUCUUGAGGGUUUGUUCAGGAAGAAAGCUGCACGCACAGGGAAGGUAUCUGAAGUCCUGAAUCAGCUCUUCAACACUUAUGACCUCCAGGAACAAGUUGACGUCCAACGUGCUGCUGUCCUCCGUGCUCUCCCUACAUAUCUGUAUGAGGAUGACUCCAGGUUUCUGAAGCUGUUGGAUGUGGCCCUGUCAGAUGAAUGCAAAUCAACAACAUACCAGUCGGGCUCCUCAUGAUCAGUGCCACUUCAACAGAUGCUGUGGUCGUCUGCCCCC